AAAAAGGAUCUUUAUCAGCCUUUUCUACUCUGAGUCCUUCGAUUCUCACAGGUAUCAUCUGGGCGAGAUCUCCCACGUUGCCCUGUCCGGAACCUGCUGCAUUCCCCGGGUUGAUCAACUGACGCCUUUCGCGUGAGACAUUUCUAGAACAAAAGAUGAGUAUAGGAAUAUUUUUAUAGUUACAAUUUUCCAUUCCCUUGUAUUAUAAUAAUUGAUCCGUCUAAGAGGAAGCUUUGAAUCGUUGCGCAAGACCUCUUCAAAUUGUUUAUAGAAACUCUGGUAGUUGUAAUUAUGUACAGAUGAGAUGAGACUAGGGCAUCGUCUCAGUUUACGUACAGACGCUAUAAUAAGUAUGCUUCGUUGUGGAUUUUAUGACCGAUGGUUGUGUUUAAAGAAUCCGUAAAUUUACGCUGUAAAAACAACUGUGGCCAGAAUAUUUUCAAAUAGUAAACUGAAUAUGGGGCUAAUUUCGUGUUUAAUUAACGACGUAACAAAGAUUGUUCGAGACACGUGUGAAAAAAUAUAUAAAAUUGAGAAAAAUUAUCUCAAUACUUUUUUUCUCGUAAAUUACUUCAAAAUUUAAAAAUUCUCCCUAAUUUUCACGUAUGUUUGAUUAACUUCGGUCGCACGAAGUUAGAAUACGUCUAUUCGAAUUUUGGCAAUCGGCCCAUCUGAACUCAAAUUGCUGCAGCUAAGCUGCAAUGAACUAGAUUUUCAACUUCCACGUAGAAAAUCAUCGUUAUAUCACUUUCUCAGGGAAAAAUGAAAUAAAAAUCUUUCGAAAUUCAGAACAAUUAUCUGGUAAUCUAGAAUAGCUUUUAUACCACAUAAUCGUUUCAUCUGUAUGUUUAAGGAUAGUUUGCGAACUCCUUUGAAGCAGGUUCAAAAAUUUAUAUGUAAAACGUGAUUUAUGCAAAAUGUUUACGUUUCUGUAAAUAUCCGCCACUCCGUCUGGUGCAAAUUUAUAAGCACAUGGGUAUAAGUAUGUAUAUUUAUAAACAGAUUAUAUAUGUAUAAUAUAGAUAUAAGUAGGUAUACUGUUAUAUACGAUAUAUACUAUGAUAUACACAUACCAUACGUGUAUAUAAACAUACACUCCGUCACACGUUAAAAUCCUACAUUUGAAAUUAUAUUAUAGAAUUGAAGUUUGUUUUUCUUCUUUGUGUCGUGUUUCAAUAAUAAUUAUUAAAACUUCACGGAGUGCUAAAUUUAUUUUUCGAACUCUUUUGAGGCUGGAUUUUUUUCUACUCUAAAUACUCUUACGGUCAGCUUUGCGAAAUGCAAUAUUUUCGAAUCUCUGAUAAAAUUGAGAUCGGAAUAAAAUUGAAAUUCUAAUAUAUUCCAUUGGAAAAUGUAUCUUUUCUGCACAAUCAUUUAUGACUAAACGGAUAAGAGAUUCGAAGUGGAAGAUUUAAAAGCGAAAUUUGAAAAAAUCGUAUCUCUGAGUAUCGUUCUUCCGGAUUCUUUACGUCGAAUAAUCUCGACAUUUCAAUUUAGCAAACAUUUUCAUACAAAGAACGACCUCCCAGAGAUCCGUUCCAGUUGUGGCGGGGCUUUGAGUGAAGCUUCCAAGGAACGUACACACAUACAAGUCGAUAGGUGACCGAGGAUAUAGGUGACUAAGUCAAGGUCAAGGUCAAGGCCUUGGGAAAUCAGCCCCCCGGGUAAGGUGAAGGGCGCGGAUCGUUGAGUUGCAUUGCACAUCUCUACACGUAGAACGUAGAUGUAUGAAUCGCUUUCAUCUCUCCCGAUUACAAAAAACGUGCCUCUUACGCUCUUAUCUUUCUCCUCGCCGUUAUUGAUCCGCGCCAUCUUUUUCUUACUUGGUAAUCCUGACUAUCGAUCAAUAAUACGGUGAAAAUAUUCGUUGUUACUUCUACAAUAGGUGUUCGAAUACUGAUCAUGAUUUCACGAUACACCGUACAGAUAGGUACAGAAGAAACAAAAGAAAAAACUACAAGGAAGCAAAACAAGGAACAAAGAACUCGAGUCUUCUAUACAUCAGCUCCCGCGGUGCAGAUUUUUGUAUAAUCAGAGUUCGAACGUAGGGCGCAUUGAAAAUCGCAAACCAUGAAAGAAAAAGGUAACCAAGGCCGGAAUUUUGAAAAUACUUUUUCUGAUCCUAAGAAAUUAAAAAGACAAUACUUUUUAGCUUCGAUAGUUUCAUUUAUUUAAUAAUUUAUUUUGGCAAAGUAAAAACAAAGUUUUUUACUUGUACAUAUUAUUCGUUCGAAUAAAAUAAUCCAACAUCACGCGUCAUUAUCGCCGCCCGCUUUAGCUACAACAGUGAAAUCCAAGAUCAUGACGAUUGAAACAAAGCUUUGUUUAUAAUUUCACUUAUAAAUAGCAUGAGCACAUAAAAUGUAUCACUUCUUUAUGAGAUAUGUCCUCCUCAACGGAAGUACGAAACGAUUCGUUAUCGCGAGCUUAUCGGUCGUUUACUAACAAGAAAAAGAAUAUUCUCUACAGGACAUACAAGACAGAGGAAAAAAAAUCACCAUUACAAUACGAGCAAUAUUUAUCGCCUGGGUAUUUGGUCAUCGAACACAGUGCCAAACGUUCAUACGUACAAGGUACGUACGUACGUACGUAAACACGUGGAAGCGGAUCCAAUGCAUGUGUGAUCAAUGAUUACGUAAUCUAUUUGUCUUUUUCUUCAUUUUGAUUUAUUUUAUUUUUUCUCAACCGUUGUAAUAUUUCUCAUCGCGAUGAUGAUUACGCGUCGAAAGCAUUUUGUUUACGUUCAGUGAUAUUACAACUGCAGUUUUAAUAUCUUGGAAUUUCGAAUAUCACCAUUAGUACAUGUAUAAACUUCCUGUUACGCGUUGGUUGUUCAUCGAGAGUAUAUCAAUUCGGAGAAUAUAAAAUAGAAGAAAAUAAAAGAAUCGCACUAACAAUGCGAGUGACCUUUACAUCACGGCCGUCAAAGAUUGCGAUAGGCAUAAACUUGCAGAACAGAAGGAAGAAAUGAAAAUUCAUCAACAAAUACAGCCGAGUCUUGUUUAUUUUUCCCUCCAUACUAUAUGCGCUCUGUGGAACGAUGCUGGACGCGAACGGAUCGUAAAACCGCAGCCAGCCGACUCCGCCAACUCACAAAGUAAUAGCGCCUAGGAUUGUAACUGCGGAGCGUCCCAAUAAAAUCCUAUCGCAACUAAACAACCCGGAACGAGUCAUCGCCGCGGACAAUGAAAUCGCUCCGCAAGGUCGUAGACCACGACGCGAUGACGACGACGCCGCGACGUCGGCGGUGGAGGAAAGGUUCAAAUGUGUUACACCAUGUCUACAGUACACGUAUAAACAAUCAAGACGUAAAGAACGGGUAUGACGAAUACGUUAGUUUUAUCGCAGUAUGUGAGAAAAAAGAAGAAGAACUGGAAGUAUCCGGCCCGCAAACGACGAUCCCCGAACAAAAUGUGGAGUGAAAUGCGACUGUUGAAACGCGCGCGGCGUAAAGGGGCAAAAGACGACUAGACGGAUAUACUAUAAAUAAAAGAAAAAAAAAAAUAGCAAAACUGCCAAUAAGCAUGCUCCCCGCGGCGUCUGGUACACGCAACCAACGAAAUACUCUGGUUGUUACGAGAAUGCAUUGAAUUUAUACCCCAAUUCAUUCGCUUGUAAGACAGUAAUACAUAUCCCUGUGAGAUCAUGACUGUGAGGUACUUUUUUUUUUUAAUAAUUUGCGAGAUGUAACUACGAAUUAAAAUACGAUAUUCGAUCAUCUGUUACUUUGGGGCCUCACGGUAUGAUCGCGCGCGCGCCGCUAUUUAAUAUUUCUCAAUCAAAAAACCAGUUGAAAUGCGAAGGAAUAUUAAUAACUUUUGUAGCCAACAUUGUUUUAACGGUGUCAGAAUUCAACACAUUCACUGUACAUGAUUACAUAUGUGUGAUUUUUGCAUAAGAGGCGUCGUAAAAUUGGUGAAAUAAAAAACGAAAACAAACAAGUUGUUGAAUAAAAAACCUCUACGAUCGUCGGAUAAAGUUAUAUGUAUGUAUACGUACGUAUGUACGUACAUACAAUAUUACGUACUACGCCAACGCAAGGUUUUAUUUCAUUUAAUCAGCUUGGUAAAACGAUCCAGAAAGCUACACGUCAUAUUCGAUGAUUUCGUUGAAUAAAUUUAGCCAUAAAAAAUUCUCCCGCAGACCGGUGGUAGGGAACAACUCGAUAUUUGAAAAUGAAAUGAAUUUUCGGAAUAUAUCCACGAAGGAUUCUUGAGAGAACUUCCGAAAGCCCCUGAGAGAAAUUAGUUGUAAUACGGAAAUGGAAGCCAUGACCGUGGCGACGAGGGUGUCCGCGGGAGCGUGCAUGUGCAACCCGUGCUAAUUAAAUUCAAAAGCUACCUCAACUCUCGACGCUCACGUUGAACCAGCAUCCUCCGAGCGUUCGAGUUAACCUUGAAAUUUCUUUUCGGAGACUUUCAAGCGCCGGGACUUACAGUUUGCUAACAAUAAGUUGAAGAGACCGGCGGGGUUUGGAGUCACGUGGAGUGGACAAAGAAUGCCGUAAGUCGCGGUUUUAUAAUCGUGUAAUCUCUACGCCAAAGACGGGUGUGGUUUAAUUUUCUGAAUAUGAUAUUCGAAAUUGAAGAUUUACAAAAUAUAGUUUGGAAAAUCUUAACAAACUAUUUUUCACGACCAUAAAAUCGACGGAAGGCUCUUGACAUUCGUCAUUGGCUGGCGUGUAAGUGAAAUGACGAUUUUAUUUUAUUUGCGGUCAGCUGCGAAUACAUACAAUAGAAACUGUCAUAAGCCGGUCAGUAGCUAACAGCAGGCCCGCUAUGAUCAGAUUAAAUUACCGUUCUGGCUGGUGAGAUCGAAACAAAUGUCAUGCGGAACGAUUACCGAGAAAUAUAAUCCCCCGCAUGGUUAUUUAGCUAAUUGGAGGCUGUUCACCGAACAAUUAUACCACGAUGAUGUAAUAAUAUACAAAUAUUCGACAAUUACACGCAGAUCUAUUCCUAUAUCGAAGCCGUAUAUUUUACCUCUCUCACUUGUUUCAGCUUACAAAUGCCAUUAUAAAUUUCAAGACAUGAGGUCGGCGUCAUUUCGAAUAUCUGCACUACGAUGAUAAAAAUGAAUUAAAACAAAUCGUACGACAUAACCAACGAUAAAAAUGCGUUCCACAUCCAUCGCUGGAACUCGACCAUCUUGAAUUUCGAUUCGACUCUUCUCUCUUCGAAUUUCAAACAAAUAAGAUCGAUUGAAAAGAAGAAAUUUAAAAAAUUGUUCAUCACUGUAGAGAGAAGUUAUCGGGAUGAACUUUUCCCUUUUUCUUUUAUACCUGGAAUUCUUCUCUUCGAUUUCGCACGGGGCCACGAGGUGAUAAGGGACGUUGUUAACGAGGACUGAGAAUCGAAAGAAGGUCAUAAAAAAUUGGAGGGGUGCUCCAUAUCUGGGGACUUUUACUCGCAACUAAAAUAUGAAAUGUGAAAUUGAAGUAACGCUUAUUUUAUAAUCAUAAUUGUUUGCCGCUUCAAUCCUACAACGAACUCGUGUCUUAAUGUCGAAGAAGUGUGAGGUAUGAGUGAAGUAUAGUGAAUGAAACGUUGUGUCAUUUGUUCUUUGUAUCAACACUGCAUAAGUCUACAUAAGGUUAGCGUAAGUGUAACCACAAGCUGUGCCCAUAUCUGUACACGUGUAUAAAUGUGACAUCAUAUAAACACGUGUACGUAUAGUAUAAAGUAAAGUAGCAUGAUCAAUACGCAUAAAACGAUUUCAUUCAUAAACGAGUCGUAUAGAUGUUCAUACCUUACAUCGUAAGAAGCAAUUGAACUUGCAACCCUGGCGCGUGACCCUUGAAAUUUAUUGUACUACGCGACAUAACUUCAGCACGUCGGUAAUUCGAGCGAAGAAAUAAAAAUUCAUAAGUCACGACUACCGGCGCUUCGGUUUGAAUCACCAUAUUUCUAUUUGUUACAAACAUAUCGCGCGUUUCGUCGCUUUGUAUGUACGUACUAUGUAGGAAAAGCGUAUGACGGACGUAUCCAGCAAUGAAAUGCAGUAAAACAAAGGAUAAACGAAUAUAAAUGAAGAAAUCAAAAGGGAGGGAACAACGGGACGAAGAGAAUCAAUAUCGAAUUUCAGAGAGCUAGGAUAUGUCUACUAUAGAUGGCUACUGCGCGCAGGAUUAUUGAAAACGUAUACCGACCUUUUUCAUUCAAGACCCACAUUGUUUAAUGCCCACAUAGGAUGUAGAUAUACGGUCCGGUUAUCACCGCACUAAAUCUACACCGUACGUUCUUCAGUUUCAUUUCCUACGUCUGCAACUGCGAUUCUGAAUAUCCUUGAACGCUACGCUGACCAGUGGCCGUUCAAUGAACGUCUUGUGUGAAGGCAAUAUAACGGUUGCACUGCACCUGUGCCACUGUCUUACCUUAACGACGCACGUGUGUACGGACGAUUUUGAGGAUGUUGGAAAAAUCAUGGGAGCUACUCAGAGAAAUGUACAUUAUUCAUAUACCAACAUGUCUUCCGAAAAGAUUCGAUUGAUUUUUAGUUUUGAUGGUUUUCAAAAUGGUUGAUGAACAAUGCGCAUCGAUCGCAUGAUAAUCAAAUCAUGAAAAAAACGAGUAUGCAAAAACCACACCGGCGCUUGGGAGUUAUUUACUUACAUUACCAACUCGUAUGACGUGAAAAUAUCCAGUUAGGAAUUUGCUGAAUUUCCGAAACGAAGCGCAGAAAUAAGAAGAAAAUAAAUAUGACGAAUAAACUAUGCGCAUUGGUAUGCGGGUACGGGUGCGACGUGAUAUUCCACGAGUUGAAUAGUGCGAAAAAAGAUGCAACUCAAUACUACGAAGCAGCUUAAGUCACGAUGUCGGUAUCUUGACCUAGCUUACGGUAUAGUAUACAUACACACGUGUACGUUAUAAGGUAUUAUAUUUCCUAUGUGAUGCUGCAGCAUUUGCGCUUUUUAUUUAUUCAUUCCUUCAUUCGUCUAGUGCGGUAGGCAUUCGUGGCUGGAUUGAUGGCUCGUUGAUCGAGUUUAUGUUACACAGCGACGUGCAGGAGAAGAUCCUGUGACGGAGAAUCCUGACGAUGAACGACCGACGAAAAAAAUUACUUCAUCAUUUAAGUCGUUAAUUUAAACUAGACGUUUAUUGUGAUUGAUGUGUUAUUACCUCGAUCACGAGGUCAGAAUUUUUAUUUUUACCUGGACACUAGCCGAAGGAUUUACGUAUGAUGUGAAAUUAUUGCAGACAUUUUCCGGCAGAUAAUUGGUUUUUCAUGUUAAAACAAGGCUUUAGAAGUUAUUUUAGUAUUUCCGAAUUUUUCUCGCACUUCUCGAUAUAUCGGAAGUAAACAUGGCUACAAAACAGUUGUUCUAUUGUUCUAUGAACUAGAAUUUUUGGAAACGUUUCGCGUGUUUUUUGAGUAUAAAAAAUCUAUGCAUUAGGUAGUGAUCCACGUGCGCACGUAGGAGCGGCUUAUCAAGAUUCGUAUAAUGCGUCAGCAGCAGUAAAGCUGUGUACACGUGAUAUUGGGGGGUCUAUGCGAUAAUAUUUCGAAAUCCUUCGAGAUAAUAGUGAUCGCAUGCGGCGAUUGAAUCAGUAGAAUUUUCGUCUGUUUUAUUGUUAGCAACAACAUGUCCACACGAUUGCAAAUAGUGCCAAUUAAAAUUCAACGUGCGGAUAAGUGUACCCCGCCGAUCGUCAGAAUCUACCCCACUACAGGGUAACCACACAUCUGGAUUGCAAUAGAAUAAAAUCUCAAUUCCAGAAACUCGACGAUUAUAUCAAAUUUUUUCUAGAUGUCUCAUUUUUUCACGUAGUCAAGAUUCUUUUUUCUUAAUUCAAAUCGAUGGAUGAGAGUAUUUAUGCUGCGGACGUUUUAUAUAUUCUUAAAACUACUUUGAAGUGACAGUCUUUCUAAAAUCGUCGACAUGUUCGUUUGUUCGUUCAUUUAGCGUUGGUCCUACGGUGAGCGGAAAAGAGUGGAAGAUCAAAGUUCAAAAAGUUUGAUGACACGAGUCCGAAAUUCUAGACAUUAUCAUCCUCGUGAUUCAUGUAAUCCGACGCGCUCAAAAAAAUGUGUAAGGAACACUGGAAAAAUUUUGCAAAAAAAUAAAUUAAUUGAAUGCGUUAUAAUGGCGACAAUUGUUAAAAAAAUUUCGAAUUCUGAGUACGUCAAGUCAGAUUAUACGUAUACUUAUAGGUUUGACACGACAAUAAUCAGAUUUUCAUGAUAAACAAUUUAGAGAAUGGUCAAAAUUUUUAGUGAUUCAACUCAAUCGAGUUGUAAAUGAGUGACUUUUUCACUAUGGUAGAAAAGAAAACAAAAAAAAAAAGAUGAUCAAAAUGUACAACAAAAUGGCGAGUAAGAAUCAAGGAUUUAAUUAAUAUGUGAAUUUACCACGUGAGAAUUUCUCAUGUUUUAUAAAAUGUGGCCAACCACUUUCCACUCGUUCCGAAAUGUUACAUGGUGCACGUAAUAAAAAAAAGGGGCCUGAGUUCAAAUUUCGCGUCUUUAGCUUACAAUUAAAUUCAAUAUUGCAUGGGUCAGUCAUAAUUCGAACUUGGGAAAUAAUUUUUUAUUCUUCAGAUAUUUUUUUAAACUCUUCGAAUAAGAAUUCGGUUACAUGCAUUAUCAAAAAUACAAAGGGAGAAGAUAUUUUUAAAACAAAAAUAAAUCUCUGCGAUACGCGAUUCGGAUGAAUAUUCGUUUCGGUCUGCGGUUGCAGCAGCAACGGCAGGCGUUUUAUACAAGGUGACGUGGUUCGUCUGAAUGGCUAUCGAUAUCUGUGUAAAUGUGAUGUAAACGUAUUACAACUGUCUCGAUACGUAUACAGCACAUAUUUACUCGUGC